CACUCCUACGGGAGGCAGCAGUAGGGAAUCUUCGGCAAUGGACGGAAGUCUGACCGAGCAACGCCGCGUGAGUGAAGAAGGUUUUCGGAUCGUAAAGCUCUGUUGUAAGAGAAGAACGAGUGUGAGAGUGGAAAGUUCACACUGUGACGGUAUCUUACCAGAAAGGGACGGCUAACUACGUGCCAGCAGCCGCGGUAAUACGUAGGUCCCGAGCGUUGUCCGGAUUUAUUGGGCGUAAAGCGAGCGCAGGCGGUUAGAUAAGUCUGAAGUUAAAGGCUGUGGCUUAACCAUAGUACGCUUUGGAAACUGUUUAACUUGAGUGCAAGAGGGGAGAGUGGAAUUCCAUGUGUAGCGGUGAAAUGCGUAGAUAUAUGGAGGAACACCGGUGGCGAAAGCGGCUCUCUGGCUUGUAACUGACGCUGAGGCUCGAAAGCGUGGGGAGCAAACAGGAUUAGAUACCCUGGUAGUCCACGCCGUAAACGAUGAGUGCUAGGUGUUAGACCCUUUCCGGGGUUUAGUGCCGCAGCUAACGCAUUAAGCACUCCGCCUGGGGAGUACGACCGCAAGGUUGAAACUCAAAGGAAUUGACGGGGGCCCGCACAAG
rnacentral:rRNA from 1 species